ACCCAAUAGAUACCCGGGUAGUCCUAGCCCUAAACGAUGCUCAUUAGAUGUGGGAGGUAUCGACCCCUUCCGCGUCGCAGCUAAACGCAUUAAAUGAGCCGCCUGGGGAGUACGGCCGCAAGGUUGAAACUCAAAGGAAUUGACGGGGGCCCGCACAAGCGGUGGAACAUGUGGUUUAAAUUCGACGCAACGCGAAGAACCUUACCUGGGCUUGAACUACUCGUGGUAGUUCGCUGGAAACAGUGGACGACCCGCAAGGGAGCGAGCAGAGGUGCUGCAUGGUUGUCGUCGGCUCGUGUCGUGAGAUGUUGGGUUAAGUCCCGCAAUGAGCGCAACCCCUACUCGAUGUUGCUAAUCCCGCAAGGGAUGCACUCUUCGAGAACUGCCUUCGAUAAGAAGGAGGAAGGUGGGGACGACGUCAAAUCCUCAUGGCCCUUAUGUCCAGGGCAACACACGUGUUACAAUGGCCGGUACAAUGGGAAGCAAUACCGUAAGGUGAGCAAAACCCAUAAAGCCGGCCCAGUUCAGAUUGUGGGCUGCAACUCGCCC
rnacentral:rRNA from 1 species